rnacentral:rRNA from 1 species
UUGGAGGGCAAGUCUGGUGCCAGCAGCCGCGGUAAUUCCAGCUCCAAUAGCGUAUAUUAAAAUUGUUGCAGUUAAAAAGCUCGUAGUUGAACCUCGGGAUCAAUGGAUCGGUCAUGCCAUCGGUAUGUACUGGUCUCAUUGGUUCUCACCUUCUAAGGAACCAUGAUGUCAUUCAUUUGAUGUUGUGGGGAAUUAGGACUGUUACCUUGAAAAAAUUAGAGUGUUUAAAGCAGGCUAACGCUUGAAUACAUUAGCAUGGAAUAAUGAAAUAGGACAUCGCAUUCUAUUUUGUUGGUUUCUAGGAUCGAUGUAAUGAUUAAUAGGGAUAGUUGGGGGCAUUAGUAUUCAAUCGUCAGAGGUGAAAUUCUUGGAUUUAUUGAAGACUAACUACUGCGAAAGCAUUUGCCAAGGAUGUUUUCAUUAAUCAAGAACGAAAGUUAGGGGAUCGAAGACGAUCAGAUACCGUCGUAGUCUUAACCAUAAACUAUACCGACUAGGGAUCGGAUGAUGUUGAUUUUUUAAUGACUCAUUCGGCACCUUACGGGAAAC